rnacentral:lncRNA from 1 species
GGAUUACAGGCGUGAGCCACCAUGACCAGGCAUUCCUGAGGUUUUAAUAACCUGAUGUUUCUCUCCUGUUGGAGACAACCCUGAAGAUCAGUUUUUACCCCAGAGGACUGACCAACAAGAGGUCAAGGUGUGCUUGAAAAAGCUGGUGUAGGAGUUGGUUCAGGAAAGGUCAGGCUGUCCAAGCAUUCAGGAAUACCUGUGUGACUCUCCUUGUAAUUAGCACUCAGGUCCCAGAGAGCUACUCACUGCAUGUGUCUUUGACCUGCUGUUGAUUCAUCUCCUCUGCUAAGAAGGACACAUGAACCAUUAACAAGAAAAAUAUUUAAAUAAGAAACUCACCAAGCCAGGAGAAUAAUGAAUGCCUGGAUGUGCCCUCUAGGAAUCUGGAUCUCUUCUCUUUUCCCCACCCUGCCCUCAACUCCCCUUACAUACAUACAACCUGGAUCACAAGACCCAAGAAAACCAUUCCACCAGCUGCUGAGAGAAGAGCCACAAAAGGACCCAGAACUUCUCCAUGGCUACCUUAGAGCACCCUAAAAUGUGCUAACAGCCAUUGUUAGCAUUCAGGAGCUGUUUAUUCCCAUUUUCACACUACACUAAAGAAUUUUAAACAAUCACAAGAUAGACUGGCUGGAAGUUGGUGCUUGGAACAUCCCAUGUCACCUAAAAGCACAGUGCUGCAAUCUCAGAAACCCCAGGCUCAGCCAGCAGAGAGAGGAGAAGCAGCUGGACAUUGGAGACUAUGAUUGGACAUUAGAGAGAAGGAGCUUGACUUCACAGAGAAAGCAUGAUGGAAUAAUUUCAGAGAAAAGUCUGGCCAGGGAUGACCAGACUUCAGGGGAAGAUAAUCUUGCUCAAUAUCCUUUUCUGCUCCCCUUCCUGCUGAGAGUCACUUUGAUUGGCAAUAAAAUAUCUCACAUUUACCAUCUUCAAUUUGUUCUUGCAACCUCAUUCCUCCUGGAUGCCAGACAAGAACUCAGGUGCCAUGAGUAUGGGUGCAAAAGGCUAUCACACUGUCCCUCCACUGAGCUGUUAACACUUAAGCUAUCCAUGGACAGCAAAGCUAAAAGGGCACUGUAAGAGUCCUUCUGGGGUUUCAGAAGUCAUGAGCAUCCCCCAGAUGCUGCCAUGGGGCCAGUACAGAGUUUGCUCCUGCCAGGGUCCAAAAAUGUCUCAGCUCCUGCACCCAGUCACCUGCAUGCUCCCCCUCCCACAAGUGGUGGAGCACAGUGGGCUGAGUGAGUGGAGUUUGCCCCUGCCAGCACCCGUGCACUCCAGUUCCCACCUGUGAAGGUGUCAGAGAGAGAUUCUGCUUCAAAAUCAGAGCGACUCCAUGUUAAAUAGCAGCUGGGUGAGAUAAGGCUGAGACCUACUGGGCUGCAUUCCCAGGAGGUUAGGCAUUCUAACCUUCUAUCAGGAUGAGAUAGAAGGCCAGCAUAAGAUAUAGGUCACGAAGACUCUGCUGAUAAAACAGGAUGUGGUUUAAAAAAAUGCCAGCCAGAACCCACCAAAACCAAGAUGGUGAUGCUCAUUCUCACUGCUCAUUAUAUGCCAGUAUAAUGCAUUUGCAUGCAAAAAGACUCUACCACCAGUGCCAUGACAGCUUACAGAUGCCAUGGCAAGAUCUGGAAGUUACCCUGUAGCCUCUAAAAUGGGGAAGAACCCUCAGUUCUGGAAAAUUUCUGCCCCUUUCCUGAAAAACUCAUGAAUAAUCUACCCUUUGUUUAGCAUAUAAUCAAGAAACAACUAUAAGUAUAGUCAAUCGAGCAGCCAAUCUCACCGCUCUGUCUAUGGAGUAGUCAUUCUUUUGUUUCUUUACAUCUCUAAUAAAAUUGCUUUCAC